AAGAUGCUAAACCACAUCUCAUUCGAUGGAUCCUUCUGCUUGAAGAGUUUAACAUCACCAUUAAGGAUAAAAAGGGUGUAAAGAAUGUGGUUGUUGAUCAUCUCUCCUGAAUCCAAUUCACAGAAACUGAACCUCUUCUUCUAUAUCUGAUUCUUUUCUUGAUGAUCAGUUCUUGUCUAUUAAUGUUUUACCAUGGUAUGCUGACAUUGUAAGCUUUUUGAUGACAAAUCAGACUCCACCACAUUGGACUGCUCAAGACUUGAAACGAUUCAAAACCGAGUGACAAUAGCACCCAUUUUUGGAACAAACCAUUUGAUGCCCUCUUACACAAGGCAUUUUUGGAAGAGAGGCUACCAAUUGAAGUAAUACUCUUUUUGAAAGACUCACUCGUGUGCCUAGUGGAAGAUGCUAGCGGCUGGAAAAAGUGAGUGGUUCCUGGGAGCGAUACAAAAUGUGCGCGAGAGACAAGCUAAUGAGUAGUGGAU